rnacentral:rRNA from 1 species
UACAGAGGUGGCAAGCGUUGUUCGGAAUUACUGGGCGUAAAGGGCGCGUAGGCGGCCCUCUAAGUCAGACGUGAAAUCCCCCGGCUUAACCUGGGAACUGCGUCUGAUACUGGGAGGCUUGAGUAUGGGAGAGGGAUGUAGAAUUCCAGGUGUAGCGGUGAAAUGCGUAGAUAUCGGGAGGAACACCGGUGGCGAAGGCGGAUCUCUGGGCCUGUUCUGACGCUGAGGCGCGAAAGCUAGGGGAGCGAACAGG